CCUACGGGGGGCAGCAGUGAGGAAUAUUGGUCAAUGGGCGUGAGCCUGAACCAGCCAAGUCGCGUGAAGGAUGACGGUUCUAUGGAUCGUAAACUUCUUUUAUAAAGGAAUAAAGUGCGGGACGUGUCCCGUUUUGUAUGUACCUUAUGAAUAAGGAUCGGCUAACUCCGUGCCAGCAGCCGCGGUAAUACGGAGGAUCCGAGCGUUAUCCGGAUUUAUUGGGUUUAAAGGGUGCGUAGGUGGCCUUUUAAGUCAGUUGUGAAAGUUUGUGGCUCAACCAUAGAAUUGCCGUUGAAACUGGGAGGCUUGAGUAUGUUUGAGGUAGGCGGAAGGCGUGGUGUAGCGGUGAAAUGCUUAGAUAUCACGCAGAACCCCGAUUGCGAAGGCAGCCUGCUAAGCCAUGACUGACGCUGAUGCUCGAAAGUGUGGGGAUCAAACAGGAUUAGAUACCCCUGUAGUC
rnacentral:rRNA from 1 species